GAUGAAGAACGUAGCGAAAUGCGAUACGUAAUGUGAAUUGCAAAUUCAGUGAAUCAUCGAGUCUUUGAACGCACAUUGCGCCCCCUGGUAUUCCGGGGGGCAUGCCUGUCCGAGCGUCAUUGCUGCCCUCAAGCACGGCUUGUGUGUUGGGCCCCGUCCUCCGAUCCCGGGGGACGGGCCCGAAGGGCAGCGGCGGCACCGCGUCCGGUCCUCGAGCGUAUGGGGCUUUGUCACCCGCUCUGUAGGCCCGGCCGGCGCUUGCCGAUCAACCCAAAUUUUUAUCCAGGUUGACCUCGGAUCAGGUAGGGAUACCCGCUGAACUUAAGCAUAUCAAUAAGCGGAGGA
rnacentral:misc_RNA from 1 species